AUUUAGCAUCGCCAUUACAUUCACUUUGACUGCGGAUAACUCGGCAACAAAUCCCUUUUGAGGCAUAAUAUGGAAUUCAAGCUUCUGACUUAAUCAAAGGCGCCAGUCGACUCUAUUUAAAGACAUCAAUGAAGAGAUGCACCAACAACGAGCACAGCAAGUUACCAUUCACCAAUGAGGAAGCCUAUUAAGCCGAAACACAUCCUGCGUAUGUACCCCUGAUGCCAUGAAUAUGGAAUAAACUUUAAAACUUCUUCAACU